AGCUCCAAUAGCGUAUAUUAAAGUUGUUGCAGUUAAAAAGCUCGUAGUCGAACUUCAGGCCCCGCUUUUCGGUCCGCCUCACGGCGAGUACUGUUGUGCGGGGUCUUACCUCUUGGUGAGCCGGUAUGCUCUUUACUGGGUGUGCCGGGGAACCAGGACUUUUACCUUGAGAAAAUUAGAGUGUUCAAAGCAGGCUUGCGCCCGAAUACAUUAGCAUGGAAUAAUAGAAUAGGACGUGCGUCUCUAUUUUGUUGGUUUCUAGUGACGCGGUAAUGAUUAAUAGGGACAGUUGGGGGCAUUCGUAUUCGGUUGCUAGAGGUGAAAUUCUUGGAUUUACCGAAGACGAACUUCUGCGAAAGCAUUUGCCAAGGAUGUUUUCA
rnacentral:rRNA from 1 species